UUGACCUCGGAUCAGGUAGGGAUACCCGCUGAACUUAAGCAUAUCAAUAAGCGGAGGAAAAGAAACCAACAGGGAUUGCCUUAGUAACGGCGAGUGAAGCGGCAACAGCUCAAAUUUGAAAGCUGGCUCCUUUGGAGUCCGCGUUGUAAUUUGUAGAGGAUGAUUCGGCAAGGGCUCCCGCCUAAGUCUCCUGGAACGGAGCGUCAUAGAGGGUGAGAAUCCCGUAUGCGGUGGGCUGCCUAAGCCAUGUGAAUCUCCUUCGACGAGUCGAGUUGUUUGGGAAUGCAGCUCUAAAUGGGAGGUAAAUUUCUUCUAAAGCUAAAUACCGGCCAGAGACCGAUAGCGCACAAGUAGAGUGAUCGAAAGAUGAAAAGCACUUUGGAAAGAGAGUUAAAAAGUACGUGAAAUUGUUGAAAGGGAAGCGCUUGCAGCCAGACUUGUCCGCAGUUGCUCAGCCGGUCUCCUGACCGGUGUACUCUUCUGCGGCCAGGCCAGCAUCAGUUCGGGCGGUCGGAUAAAGACCUCGGGAAUGUAGCUCCUCUCGGGGAGUGUUAUAGCCCGGGGUGGAAUGCGGCCAGCCUGGACUGAGGAUCUCGCUUCGGCUAGGAUGCUGGCGUAAUGGCUGUAAGCGGCCCGUCU
rnacentral:rRNA from 1 species